CAGAAAGACCCUAUGAAGCUUUACUGUAACCUGAAAUUGAAAUUGGACUUUAGUCGCGCAGCAUAGGUGGGAAGCUUUGAAGAUGUUUUUGCGGAAACAUUGGAGCUAUCAGUGAGAUACCACUCUUCUAAUGUUAGAUUUCUAACUUUGAACCAUUAUCUGGUCAAAGAACAGUUUCAGGCGGGCAGUUUGACUGGGGCGGUCGCCUCCCAAAUGGUAACGGAGGCGUACAAAGGUUUCCUCUGAACGGGUAGAAAUCGUAUCUAGAGUGUAAAGGCAUAAGGAAGCUUGACUGUGAGACCUACAAGUCGAACAGGGACGAAAGUCGGUCUUAGUGAUCUGACGGUACUGAGUGGAAAGGCCGUCACUCAACGGAUAAAAGUUACUCUAGGGAUAACAGGCUGA
rnacentral:rRNA from 1 species